rnacentral:ribozyme from 1 species
GUGCUAGUAGUGCUUAAUAAUUAGCACCGCGCUCUAAACGAGCUAACCUAAGAAUACUCCUGCAUUGUGUGCCUUAUUAAAAAGUACUUGAGCACAGUGUAGCGUUUUUACAUA